CCAGUGCGGUAACGCAAACCAGCUCGGAGACGCCGAUGCGAGCCCCGGGAAGAGUUUUCUUUUCUCUGUAAGGAGAUCGAGUCCCUGGAAUGGGUUCGCCCCGAGAUAGGGAUGGUGGCUCCGUAGAGCAGUGCGGUUCUUGCGCUGUCCGGUGCGCUCGCGUCGGCCCUUGAAAAUCCGAGUGAGGGAGUGUGAUUUUCGUGCCGGACCGUACCCACAUCCGCAGCAGGUCUCCAAGGUGAACAGCCUCUAGUCGAUGGACCAAUGUAGGUAAGGGAAGUCGGCAAAACGGAUCCGUAACCUUGGGAUAAGGAUUGGCUCUGAGGACUGAGCCGGUCGGGCUGGGGACCUGAAGCAGGAACGGCACUGCACCGGGACUGGGCGGGGCUCGCCGUUCACGCGGCGCGGCCAAGCCCGGACCAGCGUCGGGACCUUCCUGUGGAAAGCCUCAGCUGCGCGGCGUCUGAGGGCUUCGUGCCCAAAGUGCUAUGCUUCGGCCGGCAAAAAACAGUCAACUCAGAACUGGCACGGACCGGGGGAAUCCGACUGUCUAAUUAAAACAAAGCAUUGCGAUGGCCGCUGGUCGGUGUUGACGCAAUGUGAUUUCUGCCCAGUGCUCUGAAUGUCAACGUGAAGAGAUUCAUCAAAGCGCGGGUAAACGGCGGGAGUAACUAUGACUCUCUUGUCACUGCAGUCCAGUGACGCACGUGCUAGGUUCUGGGCGGGGAAACUCCACCACAGCUACGAUGGGGCAGCACUCAAGGAGUGCAGUAAGGUCCCGGCCGCCCAACGUUGGGUGGCCGAGGGAACACACCUUCUGCCAGGCCGGGAGUUUAUAGACAUGGUGAAGCUACGCGUCAACGCCAUGCCAAACCGCACACGCACGAAGAGAGGCCAGGAGGGGAGCCAGAUGUGCCGGGCUGGGUGUAAUGCACCGGAGAGCCUUGGCCAUAUCCUGCAGCGGUGUCACCGCUCGGACUUCAAGAGGAUCAAACGGCACAAUAACAUCGUGCAGUUCCUGGCGUCCCGUCUGCGAAAGCUGAAGUGGGAUGUCCGGGUUGAGCCUACCAUUCGUACGUCGCAGGGUAGGAGGUUCCCCGACCUGGUGCUGUCGAG
rnacentral:ncRNA from 1 species